rnacentral:tRNA from 1 species
GUGGGCGUAGCUCAGUUGGCUAGAGCGCUAGGUUGUGGUCCUAGAGGUCGCGGGUUCGAGCCCCGUCGUCCACCCCA